rnacentral:rRNA from 1 species
AGAGUUUGAUCCUGGCUCAGGAUGAACGCUGGCGGCGUGCUUAACACAUGCAAGUCGAACGAAGCACUUUAUUUGAUUUCCUUCGGGACUGAUUAUUUUGUGACUGAGUGGCGGACGGGUGAGUAACGCGUGGGUAACCUGCCUUGUACAGGGGGAUAACAGUUGGAAACGGCUGCUAAUACCGCAUAAGCGCACAGCAUCGCAUGAUGCAGUGUGAAAAAACUCCGGUGGUAUAAGAUGGACCCGCGUUGGAUUUAGCUAGUUGGUGAGGUAACGGCCCACCAAGGCGACGAUCCAUAGCCGACCUGAGAGGGUGACCGGCCACAUUGGGAUUGAGACACGGCCCAAACUCCUACGGGAGGCAGCAGUGGGGAAUAUUGCACAAUGGGGGAAACCCUGAUGCAGCGACGCCGCGUGAAGGAAGAAGUAUCUCGGUAUGUAAACUUCUAUCAGCAGGGAAGAAAAUGACGGUACCUGACUAAGAAGCCCCGGCUAACUACGUGCCAGCAGCCGCGGUAAUACGUAGGGGGCAAGCGUUAUCCGGAUUUACUGGGUGUAAAGGGAGCGUAGACGGAUGUGCAAGUCUGAAGUGAAAGCCCGGGGCUCAACCCCGGGACUGCUUUGGAAACUGUGUAUCUAGAGUGCCGGAGAGGUAAGCGGAAUUCCCAGUGUAGCGGUGAAAUGCGUAGAUAUUGGGAGGAACACCAGUGGCGAAGGCGGCUUACUGGACGGUAACUGACGUUGAGGCUCGAAAGCGUGGGGAGCAAACAGGAUUAGAUACCCUGGUAGUCCACGCCGUAAACGA